GACAUGAAUCAUGGCAGACCAGGAAAAGACAAUGAUUUACUACUUUGAAGGGCGACCAUGUAUGUGAUUAAAGGAUAUAAGUGCAGUACUCCAAGAUUUGCUUCCUUCCUGCUCCAUCCAGCAGGGAUACCUGAGAUUUCUGGGACUGGCAUUCCUGUACUGUUUAUGGAGUUGUUUCUUCCAAGAAGUAUGGGCACCCUGAGAUGGUGCUUAUCCAUCUGGCUGUGGAAGCGUUUGUAUGCAUAUUUCCUGUGUUCUUCAGCAGACACUGGGGACAGAGAGAUUUUUAAAUGGAGGAAAAAAAGAGGGAAAUGAAAAUAACGCGAUUGAAGAAACAGAACCCUGAAAAGAAUGCUUAAUUGCUAUUACAAGCAAGGAAAGGAGCCAGGAGGCAAAAUUCAUCUGCUGAAAGAAAUUGCUCCAUUGCUCUCUCUAGAAGAAAAUUUAUCUUUGAUAUUAAACUGUUAUGAAGGAGUACAAAUGAAAGAGGAGAAAAUCUGUCAAGUAGCACUGGCUAUGAUCACCACAGUAUUUUGAGGCAGAAUGGCAAAGCUGAUCAAGGGGACAACUGGAUUCAAAUACCACUGCUGAUUCAUACUGACUGUGUGACCCUGGGAUAUUAUGCUGCCUCUUUCAGUUUGGAUGAAUUCAAAUUGGGAAUCUUUGAAGGAAGAAGAAGCACUUGAUAUGGAAGCAGAGGAUUCACAAAGGACUGUGUGCAUUGACUAUGAGAGACUUUCAAAUUUCAUCUUUUACAAGAGAUCUUGAUUUUUACGAAUCUCUUUGCCGAUCUGGUGAAACCUAUGUAUCCCAUCUCAGAAUAAUGCUUUGAAAUGUAUACAAUAAAGUAUACAGCAUUACAAAGGAAACCAAAGGAGCUAUCAAGGCCAAGUGUGACUGCCAGGAAGGAGCUGGGAGCAGCCAAAGAGGCUGAGUAUGUCAGACUUCUCUCCCAGCCUGCCACACACACUUAAAACCUAAAGGAAAUAAGCAAGGAUCAAUAGGAGGAAGGGAGCCAACCAGGUGAGCAACCACAUCUGUCUGAAGUCUAAAGGCAACAGGAAAGGAUCCCUGGCAUUUAGAUUUGUUUGGCAAGAUUGAGACAUGACCUGAGCUUACACUAAAUUACCUCACGAUGAAUUAUUUUUACCUUGCACUUUAAAUGUCAGGAUGACUCCACUGAGCUUUUUGGCUAGGGAAAGAGAGAACACAUCAAAGACUGGUAAUUAGUCUGCAGGUGUGGUUGAUGGGAUUGCAGUCAUUUGUCUCCUUUUAGCAAAGGGUUAAUUCAUGGCUUUUUCAUAAGCUGGUUUCAGUUGAUUUGGGAAAAGAACAAGAGAUUUUCCAAAGAGUUAUACGUUUCCAUUGUUUGCACGUGGGGUGUGUGUAUAUGUAUGUAUGUGUGUGUAUGUGUGUGUCUGUGUUUCCUUAGGUUCAGUCUGGGUUAGGAUUUCACUGAUUUAUUCAUGGAGAAGGGUGGAGGGAAAUCUCACUAUACCAGUCAUUGGGGUUCAUACCAUGGCGCCACUGUGCAAAUGAACUCCUUCAUAAUGUGUACUUUUGCUACUUAAAUAAGUAAAUUCCCUUGGAUAGACUCCAUGACUGCCUUGACUUAUAAUGAAUUCUGAUCAGUAGUCAAGUAAUGCUACAGCAAGAUUCCAGUGUGAUAUAUGAUUUAGCCUUUGCUCCCCUCCUUACUCAGAUUUUUCAGUUAAAUCUUAUCACUAAAUGGAGCAAGAAUAAUUAUUGUAAUUGCAGCAUGAAAGGGUUUUCAAAUCUGAAUGGCAUUUUAGAAACCUAGUUUAGCUACUCCUCCACAAGCAACAUAGAUUGUAUGAAAUACUGUUUAUUCAAAACAGCAUUAAAUGCAGUCUGAGAUAUCUUCAAAGACUAUUUUCUGAAUGAAAUGGGAUAAAAGGAAAAGAAUUCGUUAAGUGUAGAAUGCAAAUCAAUUGUCUGCUUCUUAGUACUUUCCCUAGUCUUUCUUGGAUCUUUAGAAGUAGUCUGAAUCCCAAGAUGUCUCAGAAGACAUUUUGUCAUUUGACUAUCAGUUGUUUAAAAUUUGAAAGUUUCUGAUUUUGGAUCAGUGUUAAAUUUUUUUAGUGGAUUAAGUAAAAUAAUAGGGAUUUUCAAUCUUGAAUUAUCAUGGUAGGGACUAUAUCUUGAAGACUUAAGUCUUUUUAUCCCAAAUACUUAAUUUUGUUGUUCCAAAAAAGUGAUAGAGAUUUUGAAAAGAGACCAGUGAUAUGAAUUUGGCUCCAGCUUGCUAGUUGGUGUUUGCCAACCUAUUGGGAAAAGAGGAUAAGGAAAAAUACCAAAAUACAAAAAUAAUACUGUC